GCAAGACAUAAUAACAUUUGUUUUUACUAUGAUUCUCAAAGAAACUUUCACAAUUAAGGAUCAUACUAUUGGGUUUAAUGUCCAAGCCCAUUAGCCUAGGCCCAGAACUGCUCAAGUGAGUCCCAUAUUGGGUUUUGUUGCAAGUCUGGCCCAAUUUGUGCCAUAUUCAAACGAUCAUGCAAUGGUAAUGCUUAUUACAAAGAGUUCGAGUCGCUAUGAACCUAUACUAAUAAUUAAGCAUAAACUAAAUUUAAAAUCAUUCGAACAAUUCAUUUUUACUGAUGCAGGUCCAUAAAUAUACGAUAUACUCCUAAGUAUAGCCAACAUCUAAAGAAGAAAAAAAGAGAAAAAAUUUAAAGUAAAAAUCCAAGAAAAAUUUUCCAAACUUCAAGCUUCUCCACUGCCAUCGAAUCAUUUAAACCAAGCUUCAACUUGUAAGAAAUCAGCUAUAAAACUCUUUCUCACAAGUUAGCAUUUCGAACUCCAGUCCCGAGAUUUCCUGGCCUUAUUGCCGCUCACAUACAAAACAACAAAGAUAAAAUAUAGGUUUUAGUACUUGUGGAAUUCUAUUUAAAUAAUGUAUUAUCAGCUAGGUAGCAAAAUAGGCAGAAGGAAACAAAAACAACUUUAGUAAACAAACUUUAGGUUCAGUAUAACUCAGAAAUGGGCUCACAGUUGUAAAAAGGACACACCGGUUCAAACAGUCAAAUAGUAGAGCCAUGGACUUUUGCUCUUUUCAUGUCAAACACAUCAAUUAACAGAAGAAAUAAUCAAGAGUUUAAGUGAAACUAAUUAACAUGCUAAUGUAAAAGAAUCGACAUAUGAUGACAGAUGAAAACUAUCAACUUAUUCAUGCUAAAAUGAGUCUUAGAAUACAGGCAAAUACCUGAUUACAGCGAAAUAGACCAAAACCAAGAGAAAUAGAUCUCAUAAACAGCAACACCAGCUACAAAACAAGUGAAUAACCUUUUGAAUCUUUAAAGAUGGAGCAUCCACCAAAAAUCCAAAUAGCAGCAGUAAACCACAUCCCAGAAAACCAAUAACCAGUACUUCAAAACCUCCCAGAAACGCAGAGUACUAGAAAAUAACCUAAAAAUCUAUACUAGAGGACUGAAGCUUUUUCCAAAAAAAAAAAAAGAAAUUUCAUGGAUCUUCCUUGUAUUCUUAAAGUUUUUAGGACCAUAUAUCUUGAUCAAUGUUUGUGUGUGCAUGAAGGGAUGCUUUCCUAUUUAUAGAGUGUUUACCGAUAGCAUCAAAAUGGCAUAUUCUAACCUGAAUUCUGAAUUUUCAGGAUAGUACAACAUCAUUGAUAGAUGUAUGUCUUUUUUCCCACCCAAUUUCAGCAUCUUUUGCUAAAAAAAGGGGAAACUGUCCAAAGACCUAGAACCUCCUAAUAUUUAACAUAUGUUAAACUCAAAUUUUAACCCUUCAAUUACUGACUAUUUCAAUUCUGACCUCUAUUCUGACUUCAAUUCAAUUCAAGCCAUUUUAGGACCUUCUAGAAACAACCAAGUGAUUAGGUUGCUUUAAUUUGCUAAUUCUGACUUCAAUUCAGUUCCUGCCAUUUUUAGGACCUUCUAGAAACAACCAAGUGAUUAGGUUGCUUUAAUUUGCUAACCUAGAGUAUUGCAUUUUUUUCUGCAAUUAAACUAAGGUUUUAGUUUCAAUUUAGAGGUUUAAACCUAUAUGAAAAUUUUCAAAUCAAUUAAUCCUAAACAAACAAUGCAUGAAACUCACACUCAAAUAACUAUUGAAAUCCAACGUGCUUAUGGAAAGAAAACCAGAAAUCAAAACUAACUAAAUUCAAAUUAAACAAGGUCGAAUCCAGCUAAAGCUAAAAAGAUCAAGAAUCGACUAAUUAGGCAAUUGAUUAACCUUUAAAUCCAUUUUAAUUAUCUUAAUUAACACUGAAACAAAACUUGCAAGAAGAAAAAUACAAAAAGGAAAAAACAUAAUAGGCGAAUCAUAAGAACCUAAACAUGCCAAACCUAAUUAGAUUUGAACCCAGGCAACAAUAAGUUUCUAAUGAAAAAAUGUUGAAACAUGCAAUUAAUGAAACUAAACAGUCGAAGAAAACAAAAGAAAACAUAAAUCAUGCUGCUAAAUCAAAAGAAAUGAGAUGACAGGGAAUAAUUAGAAAAGGAAAGGAGAAAAGAAGGGCAAAGCAAUUACCAGGCUUUUUUCCAACCGGACCAAUCAGGGAUUUAAUCGAACUCCACCGGGGUGAAAUGAACUUGAACUACCAUUAAUCGACUAUUCUUAACCAGAAUAAUAUACCAAUGGAGGUUUUAGGUUCACAACAACACAUAUCGAUCAAAGAAAAAUUAAAGAGGGGAAAAACUAGGGUUCAGGAUUUCAUAUUUGAAAUUCGAAGGAACUGGCCGGGAUUUUCGUGAAUUCAAAGGUAAGAUAGUGAUGAGGGAAGGCUAGGGACUAUAUGGUGUGAGUUUAGGACCGUUUGGGUGAUUUAUAGUUUUUAGGUUUCUAUCUUAGAUUUAAGAUUCAAAACAUUUGGUGGGGAUUUGAGGGAAACAGGUUGGAGAUUUAGAAAUGGGAUGGAAAGAAGGUUGCAAGGUGUUUGUUUGGUAAGGUUUGAGGUGUUGCCACCGUCAUGGAAUGAUGCCGGUGAGGGAAUGAGGGUGGCUAGGGUUUGAUCCAACGAGAGAGAGGAGAAAUUGAGUGAGGGUUGAAUAUGGGGGGGGGGGCGGUCUGUCUCGUUAGGAUAGCUUGUUCCGAACUUUGGAUCACCAAGAUCCAAUGGCUGUGAUUAGGGAUGGGUAAACCGGGGUUGUUUGGGAGGUAAAGGAGCUAGACGUGUAGGGCUACGUUUAGGCUUGAGUCUGGAUUAGUUUGGAAUGGAAUUUCGGGUAUAAGAUUAACCUAAUUUCAAAUUAAGCCCCUUUACCUUUUCAAAUUUCUUUGUUUUAUUUUUUCUUUUUUUUUAAUUAAAAAUCCUAAAUUAAAUCCCUAAACUGUAAAAUUAAGCUAAUUAUCUAAUUAUAAAUUUUAUAACAAUUACUAAACGAAACUAAAAGAGAGAAUUCACUAAUCUAAGAAUUAAAAUCAAAAAAUGUAAAAAUAGUCAUUUUUGUGAUUUUCAUUUUCAAUAGCACAAAUAAUUAACUAAUUAAUCCUAAAAAUGUAUAAAAAGCAAAAAACUAAUGCAAUGCAUUGUAUUUUUUACAU
rnacentral:lncRNA from 1 species